rnacentral:sRNA from 1 species
AACAUCAUUCCAUAACGGUCACAUCUAUUUCCAUCCCAAAUCAUCGGUCCUUUCUUCACCUUCAGAAAACGCGGUAAGUACUACACCCAACAGGAAAAAGAAAA